rnacentral:rRNA from 1 species
AGCUCCAAUAGCGUAUAUUAAAAUUGUUGCGGUUAAAAAGCUCGUAGUUGGAUUUCUGCCGAGGACGACCGGUCCGCCCUCUGGGUGAGUAUCUGGCUCGGCCUGGGCAUCUUCUUGGAGAACGUAGCUGCACUUGACUGUGUGGUGCGGUAUCCAGGACUUUUACUUUGAGGAAAUUAGAAUGUUUCAAGCAGGCAUGCGCCUUGAAUACAUUAGCAUGGAAUAAUAAGAUAGGACCUCGGCUCUAUUUUGUUGGUUUCUACAGCUGGGGUAAUGAUUCAUAAGGAUAGUUGGGGGCAUUCGUAUUUAACUGCCAGAGGUGAAAUUCUUGCAUUUGUUAAACACGGACUACUGUGAAAGCAUUUGCCAAGGAUGUUUUCA